AUUGAACGCUGGCGGCAGGCCUAACACAUGCAAGUCGAGCGAGCGGCGGACGGGUGAGUAAUGUCUGGGAAACUGCCUGAUGGAGGUGGAUAACUACUGGAAACGUUAGCUAAUACCGCAUACCAUCAAAUGUGCCAAGAGGGGAUUAGCUAGUAGGUGGGGUAACGGCUCACCUAGGCGACGAUCCCUACCUGGUCUGAGAGGAUGACCAGCCAAACGGGAACUGAGACACGGUCCAGACUCCUACGUGAGGCAGCAGUGGGGAAUAUUGGACAAUGGGAGCAAGCCUGAUGCAGCCAUGCCGCGUGUGUGAAGAAGGCCUUCGGGUUGUAAAGCACUUUCAGCGGGGAGGCGUUACCCGCAGAAGAAGCACCGGCGAACGCCGUGCCAGCAGCCGCGGUAAUUC
rnacentral:rRNA from 1 species